AGUGAACGCUGGCGGUAGGCCUAACACAUGCAAGUCGAACGGCAGCACAGUAAGAGCUUGCUCUUACGGGUGGCGAGUGGCGGACGGGUGAGGAAUACAUCGGAAUCUACUAUUUCGUGGGGGAUAACGUAGGGAAACUUACGCUAAUACCGCAUACGUCCUACGGGUGAAAGCAGGGGAUAUUCGGACCUUGCGCGAUUGAAUGAGCCGAUGUCGGAUUAGCUAGUUGGCGGGGUAAAGGCCCACCAAGGCGACGAUCCAUAGCUGGUCUGAGAGGAUGAUCAGCCACACUGGAACUGAGACACGGUCCAGACUCCUACGGGAGGCAGCAGUAGGGAAUCUUCGGCAAUGGGCGCAAGCCUGAUGCAGCAAUGCCGCGUGAGUGAUGAAGGCCUUCGGAUUGUAAAACCCUUUUAUUAGGAAAGAAAAGCUGCGUAUGAAUCCCCCGCUGUUCUGACGGUACCCAAACAGUAAGCCCCGGCUAACUUCGUG
rnacentral:rRNA from 1 species